AGCACUUGCAUCUGUUUUGUCUAACCUGUGGACUAAGGGGAUAAGGGAGGUACAAAACAUAAAUCCUCUUUUGCAACCCGGGACUCCGUGCUCAGCAUGGGCUCCCGAUGCAUGGAGGAGGGACAGG
rnacentral:snoRNA from 1 species